rnacentral:rRNA from 1 species
GAUGAACGCUGGCGGCGUGCCUAAUACAUGCAAGUCGAGCGAACAGACGAGGAGCUUGCUCCUCUGACGUUAGCGGCGGACGGGUGAGUAACACGUGGAUAACCUACCUAUAAGACUGGGAUAACUUCGGGAAACCGGAGCUAAUACCGGAUAAUAUAUUGAACCGCAUGGUUCAAUAGUGAAAGACGGUUUUGCUGGCACUUAUAGAUGGAUCCGCGCCGCAUUAGCUAGUUGGUAAGGUAACGGCUUACCAAGGCAACGAUGCGUAUCCGACCUGAGAGGGUGGUCGGCCACACUGGAACUGAGCCACGGUCCAGACUCCUACGAGAGGCAGCAGUAGGGAAUCUUCCGCAAUGGGCGAAAGCCUGACGGAGCAACGCCGCGUGAGUGAUGAAGGUCUUCGGAUCGUAAAACUCUGUUAUUAGGGAAGAACAAAUGUGUAAGUAACUAUGCACGUCUUGACGGUACCUAAUCAGAAAGCCACGGCUAACUACGUG